GGGCGUUCCCCUUCGGGGGGACAGGGUGACAGGUGGUGCAUGGUUGUCGUCAGCUCGUGUCGUGAGAUGUUGGGUUAAGUCCCGCAACGAGCGCAACCCUCGACCUUAGUUGCCAGCAUUCAGUUGGGCACUCUAAGGUGACUGCCGGCUAAAAGUCGGAGGAAGGUGGGGAUGACGUCAAAUCAUCAUGCCCCUUAUGACCUGGGCUACACACGUGCUACAAUGGGCGGUACAAAGGGUCGCGAACCCGCGAGGGGGAGCCAAUCCCAAAAAGCUGCUCUCAGUUCGGAUUGCAGGCUGCAACUCGCCUGCAUGAAGCCGGAAUCGCUAGUAAUCGCGGAUCAGCAUGCCGCGGUGAAUACGUUCCCGGGCCUU
rnacentral:rRNA from 1 species